rnacentral:misc_RNA from 1 species
AACGCACAUUGCGCCCUCUGGUAUUCCGGGGGGCAUGCCUGUCCGAGCGUCAUUACACCUCUCAAGCUCUGCUUGGUAUUGGGAGCUCGCCUCGCACCCCGAGGCGUGCCCGAAAGUUAGCGGCGACGUGCCCGGCACCCAAGCGCAUUAAAUAUCCAUUCGCUUUGGGCCUGCGGGGUUCGCCAGCCGGACAACCACAAACUACUUCAAUGAUUGACCUCGGAUCAGGUAGGGAUACCCGCUGAACUUAA